AUAAGUUUCUUUGUAAAACCUAGAUUUGUAUCUCCUUCCUGUACUCCUCUUCUCACGUACGCUUCUUUAACAAAACCCUAGAUUUCCAUUUGUUUAUUCUUCUUCUCCUUCAAACUCUGUAAUCCAUCAACCUCUGCAAUCAAAUCGAUUCAACCAUCAGGUACACCUUUAUUGUUGCUCAUUUUUUCACGAUUUAUAACCAAUUAACCAUACUCUUUCAAACCCUAAUCUUCUGUCGACUCCAUUAUCUUCAAGGCAAAAAACGCUUGAAACUCAUCAGAUCCGGUGACGAUUCUCACCGUCCGGCCAAGCGCACGCGGUUUUCCUACGAGGUUUCCGCCGGUGGUGAAAUAUCCGACGAAUAGGCUGUUUUCGUUCAGUUGCUUGAACAAGAGCUUGAGAAGUUCACUUCCUUCUUCGUUGAGAAGGAGGAAGAGUAUAUUAUUAAAUUGAAGUGAUAUGGCAAAGAGUUUAUUCAAGCAAGAACAUGAUCUUGAGAAAAGGCGUGCUGAGGCUACUAGAAUUAGAGAAAAGUACCCCGAUAGGAUUCCAGUGAUCGUGGAGAAAGGGGAGAGGAGCGAUGUUCCCACCAUUGAUAAGAAAAAGUAUGUAAUAUGUAUAUGCUAUAGCUAUUAUAACGUUAUUUUUCUCAUUUAAUCGAGAGUUAGUCAAACAGAUAUCACCUACGAGAUAUUUUGGAAACAUUGGAGGAUGGUUAUCCCCCAAAACGUUAGUGAAAAGUUGUGGAAAGUCGCUUACCAGUUGCCACUACAACUUGGUCCGAACUAAUCUAUGGGUUGUUUGGUGCCUUACUUUUGUAGGAUAAUGGAUUUCGUCAUGGGGUGUUUACCUUCACCCUAAAAUAAAGCUUCUACCGAGCGCGAAUCGUGUUUCAAAAUAUGCUGGUGCAAACGUGGAGACAUAAAGAAGCACCUAAGGAUCUAGGGCUCACACAGGAUGACAACGGGAUUUUCAACAUUAACAUAAAAUUAAAAUAUAGAAAAAAGUAUUGACAGGUCAACCUAACCCGACCCAGUUAAGUUUUUUUUACAAAAUCCCAUUUAUGAUCAUCAAAGAAAAUGUUAAUGUAUUUUUCAUAUAAAAAGUGUACCCAUGUCAAAAUCAUUUAAGAUAGUUGUAUUUCUGUGUAGUGAAUUUUGACAUAAUGUGAUUAAGUAGAAAGGUUAGUGAUAAUAGAUAUGUUUUUUCUUA